GCAAGGGAAAUGGUACAUUAUUAGUAGUUUCAAACUCUUGUAAUGACAUUUACUUUGUUUUUUCAGAUACAAACAUCAAUCUUUUAUAACUGUAGGUACUCAACUGAAGGGUUAUGUUAUAUUAACAAUUAAGAUUGUUUUUGAGAUAAAACUUGGUGAGUUCAUCAAGGUAGAUAUGUUGUUCCAACAACAGCAAAAUGCUAAUUUUCCAAGUACUUAACUUGGUAACUUCAGAUUAACAUUAAAGUCCUGCUCGUUAGGGAAGUCAUAAUUAACCAUUAUUGAACAAGGAAUUUUGAGAAAUAAAGUUACCUUUAACUCUUAAUUCAUAAGCAGCUCGGUCUCUCAUCAUCAAAGCAGCAGCUUCUCCAUUCAGAGGGUCAGAUGGAUUGGGAUAGAGAAGCAAUUGUGGUAGGAAUACUUCAAACACAUUUACCAGAUC